rnacentral:rRNA from 1 species
AAUGAACGCUGGCGGCAUGCUUUACACAUGCAAGUCGAACGGCAGCGCGGGGGCAACCCUGGCGGCGAGUGGCGAACGGGUGAGUAAUACAUCGGAACGUACCCAGAAGUGGGGGAUAACGUAGCGAAAGUUACGCUAAUACCGCAUACGUUCUACGGAAGAAAGUGGGGGAUCGCAAGACCUCAUGCUUUUUGGAGCGGCCGAUGUCUGAUUAGCUAGUUGGUGAGGUAAAGGCUCACCAAGGCGACGAUCAGUAGCUGGUCUGAGAGGACGACCAGCCACACUGGAACUGAGACACGGUCCAGACUCCUACGGGAGGCAGCAGUGGGGAAUUUUGGACAAUGGGGGCAACCCUGAUCCAGCAAUGCCGCGUGAGUGAAGAAGG